rnacentral:rRNA from 1 species
UCCAGACUCCUACGGGAGGCAGCAGUGAGGAAUAUUGGUCAAUGGGCGGAAGCCUGAACCAGCCAAGUCGCGUGAGGGAAUAAGGCCCUACGGGUCGUAAACCUCUUUUGCCGGGGAGCAAGGGCGGGGACGUGUCCCGGCCCGGAGAGUACCCGGAGAAAAAGCAUCGGCUAACUCCGUGCCAGCAGCCGCGGUAAUACGGAGGAUGCGAGCGUUAUCCGGAUUUAUUGGGUUUAAAGGGUGCGCAGGCGGAGGUGCAAGUCAGCGGUCAAAUUGCGGGGCUCAACCCCGUACUGCCGUUGAAACUGCAUCCCUUGAGUGCGCGAGAAGUAUGCGGAAUGCGUGGUGUAGCGGUGAAAUGCAUAGAUAUCACGCAGAACUCCGAUUGCGAAGGCAGCAUACCGGCGCGCAACUGACGCUCAUGCACGAAAGCGUGGGUAUCGAACAGGAUUAGAUACCCUAGUA